rnacentral:rRNA from 1 species
GGUCAAGCGAACAAGUGCAUGUGGUGGAUGCCUUGGCGAUCACAGGCGAUGAAGGACGCGGUAGCCUGCGAAAAGCGACGGGGAGCUGGCAAACGAGCUUCGAUCCGUCGAUGUCCGAAUGGGGAAACCCGGCCCUUCUGGGUCAUCCUGAGCUGAAUACAUAGGCUCAGUGAAGCAAACGCGGUGAACUGAAACAUCUAAGUAACCGCAGGAAAAGAAAUCAACCGAGAUUCCCAAAGUAGUGGCGAGCGAAAUGGGAUUAGCCUGUACUCUUUAUCACGACCGUUAGCCGAACACUCUGGAAAGUGUGGCCAUAGCAGGUGAUAGCCCUGUAGGCGAAAGCGGAUGUGUGGAACUAGGUGUACGACAAGUAGGGCGGGACACGUGAAAUCCUGUCUGAAGAUGGGGGGACCAUCCUCCAAGGCUAAAUACUUGUGAUCGACCGAUAGUGAACCAGUACCGUGAGGGAAAGGCGAAAAGAACCCCGGGAGGGGAGUGAAAUAGAUCCUGAAACCGCAUGCAUACAAACAGUCGGAGCCUCGCAAGGGGUGACGGCGUACCUUUUGUAUAAUGGGUCAGCGACUUACGUUCAGUAGCAAGCUUAACUGAUUAAGGCAGGCGUAGCGAAAGCGAGUCCGAAUAGGGCGUUCAGUUGCUGGGCGUAGACCCGAAACCAAGUGAUCUAUCCAUGGCCAGGUUGAAGGUGCGGUAACACGUACUGGAGGACCGAACUCAC